AUUGAACGCUGGCGGCAUGCCUUACACAUGCAAGUCGAACGGCAGCACGGGGGCAACCCUGGUGGCGAGUGGCGAACGGGUGAGUAACAUAUCGGAACAUACCCUAGAGUGGGGGAUAACGUAGCGAAAGUUACGCUAAUACCGCAUACGAUCUAAGGAUGAAAGUGGGGGAUCUUCGGACCUCAUGCUCAUGGAGUGGCCGAUAUCUGAUUAGCUAGUUGGUGAGGUAAAGGCUCACCAAGGCGACGAUCAGUAGCUGGUUUGAGAGAACGACCAGCCACACUGGAACUGAGACACGGUCCAGACUCCUACGGAGGCAGCAGUGGGGAAUUUUGGGACAAUGGGGCAACCCUGAUCCAGCAAUGCCGCGUGAGUGAAGAAGGCCU
rnacentral:rRNA from 1 species